rnacentral:rRNA from 1 species
GAUCCUGGCUUAGGAUGAACGCUGGCGGCGUGCCUAAUACAUGCAAGUCGAACGAGAGUGCUUGCACUCGAGUGGCGAACGGGUGAGUAACACGUGGGUAACCCACCUAUAAGACGAGGAUAACUUCUGGAAACGGAUGCUAAUACUGGAUAAGAUAUAUUACCACAUGGUGAUAUAUUUAAAGGUUCUUAACGGGAUCACUUAUAGAGGGGCUUGCGGAGCAUUAGCUAGUUGGUGAGAUAACAGCCCACCAAGGCGAAGAUGCUUAGCCGGACUGAGAGGUUGAACGGCCACAUUGGGACUGAGACACGGCCCAGACUCCUACGGGAGGCAGCAGUAGGGAAUUUUGGGCAAUGGGCGCAAGCCUGACGGAGCAACGCCGCGUGAGUGAAGAAGGUUUUUUCCGGAUCGUAAAACUCUGUUGUCAGAGAAGAACAAGUUGGAGAGUAACUGCUCCAGCCUUGGCGGUAUCUGACCAGAAAGCCACGGCUAACUACGUGCCAGCAGCUGC